CCGAGCCUUGCCCGCCUCCUGUGAGGGGGGAGCCGGGCCGCGCUGCUCGCCGCCCCGCUGCUCCAGACGGCCUCGGCUGAGCCCCCGGGCUCGCUCCGUGCUCCCUCGCCGUUAUUAAACUCUUGAGCCAAGCUGGAGGCUGCUGCUUCGGCCCGGGCGGGAGGUGGCGGGCUCGUGUGGAGGGGGAGCGGCCGCGGCCCUUCGGGACCUCCGGCCUGAAGGGAGCGCUUACCGCGUCGCGCCGGGCUCCAGCGAGCGCUUUGUCGGCACGCUGCGACGCGAGAAAGCUUCCUAUUGCUAGGAGGUCUCUUGUCUUUUACGUGUUCUUGGCGUUUUCCUUUGGCGGGGCGCGGGAAGGAAGGAAGACGCGGCGGCCAUCUCCUUCCCGCCCAGCCCUGCUGAGGGGAGCCCGAGCGGCGGCUGCUGAGGUGACUGCCGGGAGGCGCCCGGGAGCUCUUCCGAGCCCGGCAUCCCGAAAAUAAAACACUUGAAGUGCUACGCAUAAAGAAACACUCACAGGUAGACACACAUAUGAAGACCAAGAGCAUUGCAAGACCAGGCACGUUGCAGGUAUGUAUGUAGACAAAAAAUGCUACUGCAGGUACAAGUUCUAAUUGGAUAAGAUAGAAAGUUUUCUUGAAUAUACUGCUAGCAAAGAGGCUGUAUUAGCUACAUUCUAUUUUUAAAAAGUAUACAUUUCUGCCUGUGUUUAUCAAGCUGGCAUAGCAGCAACCAAUUACAACACACUAACAGCUCCAUCAGGUAGCCCAAGCAAUCUUACCCAAAUUUUUAAAUACUGAAAACAGAGAAAGGCAAGAAAUAGUUGAAAGGUACACAGCUGUAACCAGCUAAAAGUUCCCAAGACCACACUGUUGUUCAUCUUUGUUCUCCUCCAAUACAAACAGUAGUAGAAAAGGUCUUCUGUCAUCCAGCCAAUAUCAAAGUUUAAGUUGACGCAAAGCGUCAAUUAUCUAAUGUAUUUUGCCCUGGAAACACCAGGGUUUUUGACUCAUCAUUGUGACAUAGCAUCUUUCUCUAGACGCUACCCAUUAGGAUCACAAACUAUAAAAUAGUUUAUUUAGAGAGGCUUGAAAAAAGUGAUCUGAAAUUACCCGCUUCCUUCAAUAGUAUUUGCACUGCUGAAAAUAGAAGUACUCGUUUUUUUUUUUGUUUUUAAUUUUUAGAAUACAAACAGGAUCUUCCCCCCACACUCAAUAAAUGAUUAGUGGUUUCAGGUACUUCAAGUAAUUAAGGUGCAUUAUACUUAAUAUCUGUAAGAAAGCUCAUCUGAAAAGUGAUUUCCUUAUCAACUGGAACGGCUAAGCCUUUUUCCAAUAGAAUGUUGUUGGUAAGCCUUGGACAAUGGAACAAGCAUCUCCUAGAUGUGAAAGUCAAAAAAUGAGUCCUAAGAAAUCAUGUACAGGUGCAUUCAUGAAGGGCAGGGAGGAGAGGUAUGUUGUUUUACUCAAGUUUGGCAACAAAUUUUUAUUUUUUAAGUUUUGCUGUAUUAUAUUUGAAGACACAUCCAGGAAGAAAGGGAAAAAAUCUAGGUAUAUCUUUCAGCAAAUAAUACCUGGGUCAAUAAUCAUUCAUCUAAAGAGACAGACAGGCUCUGAGGCACGAGCAGCACUAAUGAGAGUCCCUCACAUUAGUCGGCCUCUACACAUUCUAAUGGUGCAUCAUUUGCAGCAUCUUUUCCUUAUUUUUCCCCCCAUGAAGAAACCCACAGCCUUUCCAGUGCUAAAAACUAUCAGAAGUAACUCUUCAAGGUUCCUUGAGUGAUGAGCAUUUCUAAAACUUUUUGCAUAAAUAUUAACUUUAUUGGAAAAUAGUUCACUUAACCAGAUUAACACACACCAAAUUAUUCAAGUAAAAAAAAAAAAAACUAACCUAAAAUGCUUUGGAAAAUAAUCUGCUUCAGUUACAGUAGCAAACACAUGGUAGCCUAAAACAAGUACUUGGGGGUGUCUUCAUCAGCUAACAGGCAAUCAAGUCAUGUAAACACAGAAAACACCCUGUAAUAUUUUUGUUAACGAGUGUACCUAGAGCACAUAGAAUUAUUGUUUUUCUUUUAAAAUCUGUAUAGAAAUAUGCACAAAGUAAACGUUGGUUUACAUAUAA